rnacentral:misc_RNA from 1 species
AUUUUGAUUCACAAUGGAAAAUCAGCAAGAGAAACAGAAGGCCAAUGACAAGAAACAGAGUUCCAAGGGCAAGAAAAAGCCUAUACCAGGUCAUUCUCUCUCAAAGACACACACGUUAACAAACUGAUGUUGUUCAGUUCAUUUAUUUAUUUUGCAAGUUCUGAUAUAGCUUCUGAACUAACUUGAAUUCUAAACUAAAAUGACUCACAGUUAAGAUUAGAAAAUGUUGUCCGCACGUCGUAAAACCCAAGGGGGAUAGAAGCUUUCUCGAAGGAUGCCUCUUUGCUUUGUGUUGCUGUUGGAUCUGUGACAUGUGCUUUGAUACCACUGUUGUGGUUGGGUAAGAGGCUAGAUGAGAGAGGCUGCAGCAGAUCAAAAUCAUCUUCACCAGGCUUGAUCCAUAUACAUCACCUAGCUUUUCAUGUAUCUACUGUUUGAUUGAAUAAUUUUAUAUAUAUCCUUGUGCAAGAUAUAUGUAAUUCUUUGAGUCUGGCUCAAGCUUGUGUUCUCGUGUUGGUUGCUUCUUGGAGUCCUUGGAAAUUUUGAAGUUUUAUAGACAUAUAUAUGUAUUUGGAACAGUUUUUGUGUGUAUAAUGAAUAAUGUUAUAAGCAUGAUUUUUCUUACUUGAGCCUUAGGAACAG